rnacentral:misc_RNA from 1 species
GAUGAAGAACGUAGCGAAAUGCGAUAAGUAAUGUGAAUUGCAGAAUUCAGUGAAUCAUCGAAUCUUUGAACGCACAUUGCGCCCGCCAGUAUUCUGGCGGGCAUGCCUGUCUGAGCGUCAUUUCAACCCUCAUGCCCCUAGGGCGUGGUGUUGGGGAUCGGCCAAAGCCCGCGAGGGACGGCCGGCCCCUAAAUCUAGUGGCGGACCCGUCGUGGCCUCCUCUGCGAAGUAGUGAUAUUCCGCAUCGGAGAGCGACGAGCCCCUGCCGUUAAACCCCCAACUUUCCAAGGUUGACCUCAGAUCAGGUAGGAAUACCCGCUGAACUUAAGCAUAUCAAUAGCGGAGGA